AUCAAAUAUACCAAAGGAGCAAGAGGAGUUUAGGUUGUGGGUAGUGGCAGAGGCAGAAGAAUCUGAGCCAUCUCUAGUCUUAAAUAUCUGUGAGUCUGAGUCCUCUUUGAACUUCUUGGGGCUUUGUAGAAGAUGAGAGAGGAGACCCCACAUGACAGGAGGCAGGGCAGGGCAACUUGUCAUCUUCUUACCCAUCUUGGCUUAUGCAUAUUUUGCGUAGUGAUUUCUGUUUGGAAAUUGAUUUACAGCAAUUGCAGGUGGCCAAGAGAGCUUGUUUCAAGGCAGGAUUUGAAGGGGAAAAGAAAAGACCUUGUCCAAAGCUUUCUCCAAGGCAGGUCAUGCUGAGUGAAGGUUCCUUGUUGGAAAAGAAAGGAAUUCCCCACGGGGUCCUGUCGUCUCACUCCAGCUGACGGCUCUAUUGCAGGUAGGCAAAAUGCUUACAGUCAGGAUAGAGACAAAAUUGUGUAGUCUCCCAGUCACGCCACCGUGCUGUCUACAAGCCCUCCGGGUGUGACCGGUGAAGAUGCGUUCUCUGGGAAUCCUGAUCUCAGAUCUGAUGGAUAUUUUUGCUGUGGAAGAACCAGUUAUAGGAUUUCAAGUUCCAGAGAAAAGGUAGGCUCUCUCCUAGACAACAUCGCUCAUAAUGGACGGUUCAAGCCAAAUUAUCCAUUAUUGUUCCCAAAGUUUACAAUUAAACUAUCGAUCAAAACUGGCAGUGAUUUCUCCAGCAGCCUGAGCUUAGAAGCAGCUGAAUUACAUCAGAACACGAGUGUGUGGAGCCAGAAGGUGACACAGACAGACAGAUACCAGACAGACAGUGGCACCUUCUACCAACCACCCUGGGAUCCAGCCUUUGGUAAUUUUCCUUGAGCCGAGAAGCAGGCUGCCACCCCAGCUAUGUAGAGUGGGUUUGCGGUUUUAAUAGCCAGAGGUGCCCGCAAUUUGCGACCUCUAUCCCUGGCUGUAAAAAUUGGAGUUUAACAGGUUCGGCUCCAUGGGGAACCAACCUCAGCUUUUAGGCUCCUUCAGACACUGCAGAAUGCAUCUUUUCUGGGGAAUUCC
rnacentral:lncRNA from 1 species